UGUGUACUCCCUCCGUUCCAAAAUACUUGACUUCCAUUUGUCCAAAAAUGGAUGUACCUAUAUACUAAAACAUGUCUAGAUACAUAUAUAUUUUGACAAGUAGAAGGCAUGUAUUGUGCAACGGAGGGAGUAGAAU
rnacentral:pre_miRNA from 1 species